UGGGGAAUAUUGCACAAUGGGCGCAAGCCUGAUGCAGCCAUGCCGCGUGUAUGAAGAAGGCCUUCGGGUUGUAAAGUACUUUCAGCGGGGAGGAAGGCGAUGCGGUUAAUAACCGUGUCGAUUGACGUUACUCGCAGAAGAAGCACCGGCUAACUCCGUGCCAGCAGCCGCGGUAAUACGGAGGGUGCAAGCGUUAAUCGGAAUUACUGGGCGUAAAGCGCACGCAGGCGGUCUGUCAAGUCGGAUGUGAAAUCCCCGGGCUCAACCUGGGAACUGCAUCCGAAACUGGCAGGCUAGAGUCUUGUAGAGGGGGGUAGAAUUCCAGGUGUAGCGGUGAAAUGCGUAGAGAUCUGGAGGAAUACCGGUGGCGAAGGCGGCCCCCUGGACAAAGACUGACGCUCAGGUGCGAAAGCGUGGGGAGCAAACA
rnacentral:rRNA from 1 species